rnacentral:rRNA from 1 species
AACGCGAAGAACCUUACCAGGUCUUGACAUCCUCUGAAAACUCUAGAGAUAGAGCUUCUCCUUCGGGAGCAGAGUGACAGGUGGUGCAUGGUUGUCGUCAGCUCGUGUCGUGAGAUGUUGGGUUAAGUCCCGCAACGAGCGCAACCCUUGAUCUUAGUUGCCAUCAUUAAGUUGGGCACUCUAAGGUGACUGCCGGUGACAAACCGGAGGAAGGUGGGGAUGACGUCAAAUCAUCAUGCCCCUUAUGACCUGGGCUACACACGUGCUACAAUGGACGGUACAAAGAGCUGCAAGACCGCGAGGUGGAGCUAAUCUCAUAAAACCGUUCUCAGUUCGGAUUGUAGGCUGCAACUCGCCUACAUGAAGCUGGAAUCGCUAGUAAUCGCGGAUCAGCAUGCCGCGGUGAAUACGUUCCCGGGCCUUGUACACACCGAUAGC